UGUGAUAACAAAAAAAACUCAACAACAACUUCAUCUCUUCACUAAGACAGAGAAAGGAAGAAGAGAAAAAUCAAAAAGAAACCCCUCUUCCUCACGUUGCAGACCACCACCACUCGAAUCCCCUUCUCACUUCUCCCUCCACCGCUACCAUCACCGUUCGUGGACCACCACACCGUCGGCCAACCACUGCUCGCCAGCCAACCACUGCCGGACACAGUACGACACCGUCGAAAAAUCGCGCCGGCCUCUCUCUCCUCUUCUGACUCAGCCGUGGUAUCCUCCCUCCUCUCACGCGCAGUCUAUCUUCUGCCUCACACCGAUUCACCACUUCAAUUCCGACAAUGGCAUGAAAUUGACGUGAUUGUUGUUAGUUAGAGUUGACGAUAAUGCUGAAAAAAGGUGUUGGAUUGUUGAGUUGUGGUUUAAUGAAAUUGGAUGUUGACAAUUGUUGAGAUAUAAGAAUGUUGGAAUGAUUGUUGUUGGGAGGUUACUUGUUAACAGUGCUGAAAAUCUGCGUGGUGUUGCCGUUUUAGCCGAUUCAUUUGAACGAAAUUCGUAGGAAGUAGAGAGUAACCGAGGGCUAAAGAUCGUGAUCCAUUGUUAUGUUUGAAUUUAGAGUUUGAAUGAGAAAUACAAGACUUGAUGAUUGUAAAACAAGUGCUGGAAGUUUAUUCAAUUUUUUAUUUAUUGAUUGUUGAAGAUUAUGCUAAUUGUUGAGGUUGGUUAUAAAGGGGGUGAAUAUUUGUUGUGAUCUUGGAACAAAAAGAACCUCGUGAAACUUAUUCAUUGAAUUUUUCUGUCCAUAGUUGAAGUGUAAUGGCAACUUUGUAUGAUUCUGGAAGUGUAGAUGUUAUUGUUGUUAGUGAAGAUGUUGAACGUGGGAAAUAGAUUGUUUUUGUAGCACAAGGUAAAAACACUUGACAUAAUUGUUGAUAAAAUGUGAUUAAAGUGUUGAUGACACAUUGUUAUUA